rnacentral:rRNA from 1 species
GAAGAACGAGGGCGGCGGGCCGAACACAGGCAAGUUGAGCGACGAACCAGGGCUUGCCCUGGGGCAAAGCAGCGAACGGGUGAGUAACACGUGGGUAACCUACCCCGAUAACCGGGACAACCCGAGGAAACUCGGGCUAAUACCGGAUGUGCUCACUGGACUUCGGUUCAGUGCGUAAAGGAAGCUUCGGCCUCCGUAUCGGGAGGGGCCCGCGGCCCAUUAGUUUGUUGGUGCGGUAACGGCUCACCAAGACCGCGAUGGGUGGCUGGUCUGAGAGGACGCUCAGCCACACUGGGACUGAGACACGGCCCAGACUCCUACGGGAGGCAGCAGUGGGGAAUCUUGCGCAAUGCGCGAAAGCGUGACGCAGCAACGCCGCGUGGGGGAAGAAGGCCUUCGGGUUGUAACCCCCUUUCAGGAGGGACGAAGGUUCGGCGGUGAAUAACCGGCCGGACUGACGGUACCUCCACAAGAAGCCCCAACUCACUACGUG